AGAACCUUUAUUGCAUGUGUAGACAUCAGAUUCUGGUUAACUUUUCUCCAUUCAUCACUCAGCAUAAUAUCCACUUCACUGCCUGACCCACUAUGGAACCUUAGGAGCUUUUCUUUUACAGUCCUAACUGCUAGAAAACUUGCAGCACAGAGUGAAUUUUUAAAUAGUACCUAAGCCUCAAAGACAACUUUCUAUUUACACACACUUUAGUAACAGGCACUAAGUUAGUCAUAACAAGUAUUGCCUUUUUCGCUUAUUUAUUGGAUAGUUUCCCAGUGAUCACUUGAACGGGUUUAUUUAAGGAGUGAGACAUUAAAUGGGAUAUAUUAGCAAGUCGUUGAUCUGUGCCUCAGGUGCAUAUUAAAUUCUGUGUGGUUGAAGGCCAAGUGACUUCCAUUUCAUUAAAAUAAUCACACCCUGUUGGUGCAUAACCUACAGACCCCUUAGAAAAUUACAGUGUUAAUACACUUUAAAAUAAGAAAAAAAAUAAGUAUGCUAAAUAUUUAUUUAGUAGAUACAUUCCCAGAAGAGCGCAGAACUGAAGAAUAAUGAGAUGAAGAAAAUACAGCAUCUAUUUCUGCAGCUUAAGGACUUUCUGUUGUGUUCCAGACAAGUGCAGUUUCUUUCAAAUAUUCUAAUGGAAACGCCAAAACGAAGAGGUCUGUCAUGGGGAGGUACUGAGUCUUAAAGAAAUCCAUAUUGAGGGAGGCAAAUUGACUGAACUACCAUAUUCCCAGUUUACAAAAUUGUGACUCCAGCUCCUUUUAUAAUAAGCCAAUGCUAAGGAAGGGUUAACCUCAGGUUGCAGCUGGGCAGCAGGUGGAAUGUAUCCAGCUAGAAGAUGGAAGACCUUGGGAUGGGGAGAAAUGAGGAUGUGACAACAUGACAACACAAGCCACACUAAGUGGCACACAUGGCAUUCAUUCCCGAAAUGCAGCCGAGCAAUCUGUGAAAUGAGGACAGAGAGUAGACUUUUGCCUUUGAAGGAAGACUAAUGAACCAGCUACUGCAGCAGGCAGCGACUGACUUAUUUACAGCAACGCCAGAAGAAAUACCAAUUGCCCUGGGGAGCUUAGCAACAGAGGAGAUGCAAAGACUUCAGCUGCAAAUUGGGCUGAAAGGUCAAUGCCUCAUAGAGAUUGAGAAGAUACCAAAAGCUCAAUGGCCUGUAGUAGCUCAGAAAUUGUGUUUUGAAAGUGAAGAUGGACCAAGAGUCCUUGACGGGAUGGCUUUUGAUAUUAGCUCCUCAUCUGUCUUCAGAUGUAAGUUUGGGAAUCGCUGUUUUUGAUAAUGUAGCUACAGCUUCCUAUGAGAAUCUGGGAUUGUGAACAAUCCUGCUAAAGGUGAAAGAGGGAUUCGUCUUCUGUUUUUCUUUUUUCCUGCAUUCUUCAGGCUAAGUUUCCUCUCUGGUUUGACAUAAUUUUCACAAUUAAUCUAUCUCAUAUCUCUUUUUUUCUUAUUUUUUUUAAUAAACAUUUCAAGUUAAAUAAUUAAAACAAAUGUGUAUCUGACUAUCAUAGUAAGUGGUUAUCAGGUCUUCUUCUUCUCCCUUGUAGACCUGUCCUUAUUUAAAAAGACCUGGUCAUCUCCCGUGACUUCUCAAAUACAUACAUUAGUGCAAAUAAACUAUCUCCUCUGUUGACUCACAGUACACAAUUUUAUUCCCUCAGAAACAUGGAAGAGAUAUUGUAGGAAUGUGUGAAGUGGAUAGAUCAAUGCAUCACUGAGUAGACCUCUGGCAUUCUGAAAAUACUUGUGCAGGCCUCACAUAUCACAGACAUGGUAAACAGCAUAAUACAGGUUAGCAGUGAUGUUUGUUCUCACUAAAGCAGAAGUAAAAUCGCAAUGCGUACAGAGAUGCAUUUUUGUAUCAAAGGCAAUCUUGAGAAAAAAAAAACAUUUUAAUAUUAAAUAUAGAAUUUACUAUCACUUUGAUGUUGCAGGUUCUGUAAUAUUAAAAAUAUCAGUAACUAUUAUGUACUCAUUCACAUGGACCUCUGGAGCUAAAAGAUGUUGCUGCUUCAGUGACUUAUUCUCUCUUUGUCUGAUUUAGGUAAUAUUUUAAAAUAAA